rnacentral:tRNA from 1 species
GGGAAUGUGGCUUAGUGGUAAAGUACUUGCCUAGUAUGCAUGAAGCCCUGAGUUCAAUUCCUCAGCACCA